rnacentral:lncRNA from 10 species
UCUUCCGGAGAGACUGGCCCGAGUCCUGGACUUGACUCGCAGCCCCGCGCCGCCUGCGGCGGGAAGGGGGCGGCUCCCGCCCCAGGCGGAUCCGGGUGCGCCCCGCGCGGCUGCGCUCGCGCUCCUCCUCGAAGUCACUGGGUCCCGCAGCCCAGGGGGCGGAGGGCAAAGGAUCUCAUGUCGCUGCUGCCGCCACCCCCGAUUCGCAAUGUUUCUGCUUCCCUCCACUCUGUCCCGGGUUCCAGGGCCCUGUCUCUAGGGGCGCCCUGGGUCUUCCAGGAGUGAUCCAGAAGUUUCUUCCUGUCCUGCGUGCGCUGACCAUCGGCCCCGAGGACAGCGAUAAGAUGGCUAAAGGCUCCCGAGGCCAGUGCACUCCCAGAGCCUUGAAGACAGCAGAAGUCCUCUAAGCCCUGUGUGGUGAGAGAGGAUUUCCAGAGGAGUCAUCAGAACUGAGCGUGAAGAAGGGCUGUGUGUGACCCAAUGGAGGAUGCUGAAGAGGGCAUUCGAAGCAGAGAAGAACAUGUGCAAAGCAGGAGACGGGCAGAACAGGAGGGAUUCUAAAACAGCAGGUAACAUUGGAACAUACAGGUGGCAGGUAGGGGAGAAUUUGGAGACUUUUGAAAAGAAUGUGAAAUUGGAGAGUGGGGCUCAGUUUCUUGGUCUGAGGACACAUGUCUAAUUAUCCACCAAAUCACCAAGAUCAUCAGAAAUGAUUGGAACAUUGACAGUAGCUGCUACAAAAAGUAACACUUCCAACCAACCAUUACCAUAAACUCAUAGAAACUUUUUAUUCCAUUUCUUGCAUGAGACAUGUUUGACUUCCACGGCCAUUCUGGCAUCAGAUCCUUAAAGAAAAUGCCAAGGAGUGAUAAAUGUGACUCUAUUUAUAUGUUAAAAAUUAAGUAAACCACCAUUUCACUAAUUAUAAUGAGGAUAUAUCUGCUCUGGAACUUAAGACUACUUCAUUCUGAGACAAAAGAAACUAACUUUUUUUAAUGAAAUGCCUAGGGUGACAAAUUCAGUCUUUUCUAUGACUUCUGUGGCUUAAAGAAUAUUAAUAUCAAAGACCCAAUGAAUUAAUUUUCAAUUAUUUGAUUUUAGUUUUAAGUUUCAUGAAUAAAUUGCUUUCUAGUAAUCAUUGUUACAGGAGUUAUUAAAAAAUUAUUUUAGGCAGAUAAAGAAGAAAAGGGGUCCUUGGGAAGUUUAUUUUUCUUUUAAAUCAGCUCCAGAAAUGUUUCUUGCCUAGCAGAAAAACCCUGGCAGGCAAGCUUUGAUAUGCAAAUGCAGGCCAUUAGAAACUAGGUCCACCAAACAUGGCGAUUCCUGCCAUCUUCUUGUGCCCACAUGUGCCUGGCAACAUGGCCACCCCACAUAUCCCCACAUGUGUAGAACAUCAUGGUGCCCUUCAUUUGCAUAUUAAAAGGCUAGGGUGGGAGGGCCAGUUUUUUCACCGGCUACUUGAAUGACAUACCUGGUCAAACCAAUCCUCUGGGCACUAUGCCAGUAAGACACCGCCUCCUCCAGCCUCCUCAUAUAAAUGGCUGUUUUUCACCGCACUCAGGGUUCCCUCUUUCAGCUUAGAGCCCCCCCACCUCUAUCUCUGUACAGAGGGAGCCUCUUCCUUCUUUCUUGCCUAUUACAAUUCUCCACUCCCUAAAGCCACUCCACAUGUGUCUGUGUCGUUUUAUUCAAACCGGUGCAAGACCAAGGACCCUGGUGUUCCUCCAGUCAUCAAAGCCAUAUGAUUUUGGUGCAUUGGCCAGGAAUCCAAGGUACAGCAUUCAUCAGAGUGGUAAGUAUGGGAGUAAGCUUAAAAUCUGUUCUGUCAUUCCAAGGUGCUCUUGGCCUCUUUUUUUUUUUAAUUAUACUUUAAAUUCUAGGGUACAUGUGCACAACAUGCAGGUUUGUUACAUAUUUAUACAUGUGCCAUGUUGGUUUGCUGCACCCAUCAACUCAUGAUUUACAUUAGGUAUUUCUCCUAAUGCUAUCCCUCCCCCAGCCUCCCACCCCACAACAGGCGCCAGCAUGUGAUAUUCCCUUCCCUGUGUCCAAGUGUUCUCAUUGUUCAAUUCCCACCUAUGAGUGAGAACAUGCAGGUUUGGUUUUCUGUCCUUGGGUCAGUCUGCUGAGAAUGAUGGUUUCCAGCUUCAUCCAUG